UGAAGUCUCAACUUCCAGCCUCGACCGGUUCACCACCAGCCUGCUCAGUCUGUGCUUGAGAGCUGUGUAAAGAGAAUACAAAGUCGCACUAGCCAGGGCUCGCUGAGUCCCGGCCCCGUGACGCGCACUGAUCUCAUCACCCUCUUCGUUCGUCACUCACUGGGCCCUCGCAGACGCUGUGUAAGCUGGGUGUCCUGGUGCCCACUUUGCAGACGAGGAGCAGGAGGCCAGAAAGGCUGAGUGUCAAGGCCGCACAGCUGGGCGAGCCCGAGCCGCACCGCAGCCAGGGCCUGGGUCCCAGCCGUCGUCUGGUUUCCCGAGUCCUGGGAAACCUCCUCCCUUCUGACCGGUCAUGUUGGCACCUGGCAGGGCUCCUAUUUCUCAGGAAAAAGCAGAAGUUGAUGACUCAGCCUGAGGCUCCACCGGAAGCAGGUGGAUCCCCCGAGAUCAGAGCAAAGCAGACGAGCUAAUCGCCCCUAAAACCUCAGCCUCUGCAAGGGAGCAUGCACACACCAGCCUCCAGCCAAGCAGCUGCGUGUGCCUCAGAACUAAGGCUUCCAGAAACAUCCAGAUUGCAACUGAAAGGACGAUUCUAAGUAUCUGAGAACGGUAUCCGCAUCCGGAGAGGGGGCAGAGCCGGGCUGUGUCUGAACCUUGCAGUAAAUGUUGUGAAACAAGCCUCUUCCCACCCACCUCCCCCCGCCACCGCCCCGGGGUCCUGAAACCUCACCCCUGCUGGUGGGCAGGGAGCAGGUGAAAGCAUCUCCUGGACGCUGGGCUGCAUGAACUAUAGCAGGUGGCUGGUAUGAUUAACCUCACUGCACACAGUCAGGGAGAGAGGAGCCCCGACCUGAAGUCUGAAAUGAUUCUUAUUUUCAGUGUAGACCAGACAGGGAGGGGCAUGAGGUACACAGGACCAGGGUACCACCCCAAUCCUGAUGGGGCUCCCUGGCACCGGGGACCACCCCCUCUCAAUCCCCUUGUGCGCGACCACAUGCCCCGCCUGCCCCCGCACACCUGCUCAGGGCCUCCGUGACCGCCCCCGGCCUGGAGCACAAACUGUUACAUGUCUGUUCGAUCCUGCUGGUACGAUGGCCCGUCAGUCCCCUCCCCGUUGGCCUCUAUCCUGCCCUCUUGGCAAACUCGCUACUAGUCUGGGGAACUUUCUGUAGAUUCCUGGGAUUUUCUACGUAGACAAACAUAAGUAAUGUCUGUGAUCAAGACAGAUUUUCUUUUCCCCUUUCCAAUCUAUAGCUCACUUUAUGUCUUUCUCUUGCCUUAGUGCAUCUGAUGAGACUUUCCCUAGAUGCGCAGAGGAGCGGUGAGCACAGGCACCGUUGGCUCGUUCCCAACAUUAAGGGAAAGCAUCCAGUUUUCCGCCUUCAACAGUGAUGUUCGCUGUCGGCUUUUCUGUCAAUAUGUUUUAUUACAUGACUCAGUUUCAUUUUCUCUCCCUUCGUUCUUCUUAUUUCCUCUCUGCCACUUGCUCUGCAUUUGUUUCGCUCUUAUUUGUAUAGAUUUGUAAGAGAAAUGCUUACAUUAUGAAUUUGGAGCAUUUCUCCUUUGGUAAACUAUGCUUUGAAUCAUGUUCAUUUCCUUAGAAGCACCUUGUUCGCGUCUUUUCCCACGUUUUGAUGCCUUGUAUGUGCAUUUCCGCUCCCGUCAAAUGUUGAGACAUUGCCCUCAGGCGCCCUCUUUGACAUUUGGCUAUGGAGACUUACGUUUCCUCCGUAAGUGUUUGGAAAUUUCCCGUCAUCUCUCCGUUAUUAAAUUCUACCCGAGGUCUGUCCCA